CUAAAAUUUGACAAGUAGCCUGCAGGUUAAGAAAAAUGGCACUUUCCCAGGAGAAACACACCACCAAAAGCAAUCAGUAAAAUCACAGGGAAGAUCCUGAAAAUGUGUUUGUGAAAAUUCCAGGCAUGCUCUUCUUAGACCUGGCUACUUCUGGUAAAGAGUCUAUGAUGUUGCUGAUUUCUACAAGCGUUCAACUGGAAAAGACGGUCUUAUAAGGAUUUUUGGCUGUUUGGAAGGCAAAAAGACUCAGUCUCAAUCCAACAGAGCUGUGAACAGAGAGUGAAGAUGAAGGUCUGGUUUCUGCUGUUCAUGCUGCUGCCACUCUGCCUAUAUACUACUGGUGUUGCAGCACAAUAUAAAAUUGACUGCUAUGGGGAGGAUUUCCUAAUGGUGAGGAAUAUGGUCCUGCAUUGCUCAAGCAAAGUUCAGCAGGCGUGUUACACCAGAUCAUCUGGAGAGAAGGGCUGCGUUCGGAUGGAGUUCUGUAAAAGACCUGACUGGAAAUGUUGCCAGACAAAUCUCUGUAAUGCCUAAAUUUAACACCAGAGAGAGCUAGAUUGGCAAUCAAAUGUCAAACAUUCCAUUUUUUGAUCCCAUUCUUCUGUAUUUUGUCUGUAAAAACACCUGAUAUAGAUACCGCUAAAUAAAUAAUUACACAUUU